rnacentral:lncRNA from 1 species
GCUGCAUGUUUAUCAAAAUUAAAAAAAUUGCGCUAUUUACAGUUUUAUAAAAUUUGGGUCACAUAAUCUCCUUGCAAAAUGAAACAAAUUGCUGUUUUAAAAAAGAGGGGUCCAUGAACUCGUUUUCAAGAUAAAUCAGUUUGAAUGAUAAAAAUCAGUCGAAAACUGCAUCUUUUCCCGAUAAGUCAUAGUUUGACGUCGCGAAAAUAACAAUUUACGUUAACAACGUCAUUACCUCCCCUGUAACUGUAUCGUAUGCCCUUAA